CUGAUCUGCAAAUCUCCUGUCUUCAGAUUAUGUGAUAGCCCCAAUGCCUCUCUGAAGAUGACCAAUAAUUUCCCUUGAAGAGGAAUACAGGACUUAGUCUUUGCUUAAAGGCUGAAGCCGUUUGGGAGAGGGAGAAUCUUUAUUAACAGCAGGCAUUUGGAGGCUCCUCCUAAUCACUUCUUCAACUUCACAUAACCUGAGAAAAAGCCACUUUUAUUCUCCUCCGAAUUGUCCAUGGGAGACUGUUAUACGUGCACGCAUUUAAUUUUAUGUUAAUUGUAUGUUAAAUGUUUUCUGAUGCCAAGACUUCUUUGCAAUAUGUCCAUUUCAAGCAUCGCAGCAAAGGAAAAGGCACCUGUCCUUGCGUUUUUUGGCUUGUCCCCGUCUGGAGCUCUGCUGUGGCCUGUCAGUAGGGACAUAAGACAUUGGAGUAGUCCUGGAAGUUGAAAUCUUCGCAUUUUAUUCAUUCCCUGGAACAGAUCCAAUGUUGGAGCCACUGCUUCAAGAGACUUCUUCCUCCUGGAUUUCUUCAGCUUUCUAAAGAGAAGACGCAGACAAUUUACCAAACCACCGUCUUGACCUGGCUGCACAUUUAGAAUCAUCCUCAGAGUUCUUAAAACUCCCAGGGUUCAAGGCAGCACCCCAGAUCAAUAGAGACUAAAUCCCCAGGGGUGGGAUCCAAGCAUCUGUACUUUAUAAAGCGCAUCAAGUGAUUCUGUUGGUUGAGA
rnacentral:lncRNA from 1 species